UACGGGGGGUGCUAGCGUUGUUCGGAAUCACUGGGCGUAAAGCGCACGUAGGCGGCUUCUUAAGUCAGGGGUGAAAUCCUGGAGCUCAACUCCAGAACUGCCCUUGAUACUGAGGAGCUUGAGUCCGGGAGAGGUGAGUGGAACUGCGAGUGUAGAGGUGAAAUUCGUAGAUAUUCGCAAGAACACCAGUGGCGAAGGCGGCUCACUGGCCCGGUACUGACGCUGAGGUGCGAAAGCGUGGGGAGCAAACAGG
rnacentral:rRNA from 1 species